AGCCCUGAACCAAGAUCCCUAACCUCCCAGGUUCUGGUGAGGACGUGAGAAUGAGUUUGAGAAUUUAUUGACAUGGGUUUUAUCAUAUCACCACGCAUGAAUCACAUAGCUAAAAUGAAUCGUAGAAAACGUGAUGAUACCCCAUUUUUGUUGGCAAAUAGCAGCGGGAAGUUGCACGCAUAAGAACGUCUGCAUUAAUCACAGAUUAUCGUCAAGGCUCAGAUCUGGCCCCACAUGCAAGCAAAGCUUAAUUGAAGACCAGAACGACCGAGCUCGAACUACCAGCCCAGGCCACACACUAUCAACUCCGGCAUGGAAGGAAAGGAAGCGGAAUCAGCGGAUGCACAAUCUCAGUUCUCAAUCUAUCAUGGACGGUGAUCUUGUCUUCCGGAAUAUUUUUUCCCCUUCAGAUUAUUUUUCUAAAACUCAUUCUGGAACAGCCAAGAAGCCAUCUUAUGGUCACUCCGAAUCCCGGGCCCC
rnacentral:lncRNA from 1 species